rnacentral:rRNA from 1 species
UGGGGAAUAUUGCACAAUGGGCGCAAGCCUGAUGCAGCCAUGCCGCGUGUAUGAAGAAGGCCUUCGGGUUGUAAAGUACUUUCAGCGGGGAGGAAGGCGAUAAGGUUAAUAACCUUGUCGAUUGACGUUACCCGCAGAAGAAGCACCGGCUAACUCCGUGCCAGCAGCCGCGGUAAUACGGAGGGUGCAAGCGUUAAUCGGAAUUACUGGGCGUAAAGCGCACGCAGGCGGUCUGUCAAGUCGGAUGUGAAAUCCCCGGGCGCAACCUUGGAACUGCAUUCGAAACUGGCAGGCUAGAGUCUUGUAGAGGGGGGUAGAAUUCCAGGUGUAGCGGUGAAAUGCGUAGAGAUCUGGAGGAAUACCGGUGGCGAAGGCGGCCCCCUGGACAAAGACUGACGCUCAGGUGCGAAAGCGUGGGGAGCAAACA